AGAGUUUGAUUAUGGCUCAGGAUGAACGCUGGCGGCGUGCCUAACACAUGCAAGUCGAGCGAUCUCUUCGGAGAGAGCGGCGGACGGGUGAGUAACGCGUGGGUAACCUGCCCUGUACACACGGAUAACAUACCGAAAGGUAUACUAAUACGGGAUAACAUACGAAAGUCGCAUGGCUUUUGUAUCAAAGCUCCGGCGGUACAGGAUGGACCCGCGUCUGAUUAGCUAGUUGGUAAGGUAAUGGCUUACCAAGGCAACGAUCAGUAGCCGACCUGAGAGGGUGAUCGGCCACACUGGAACUGAGACACGGUCCAGACUCCUACGGGAGGCAGCAGUGGGGAAUAUUGCACAAUGGGCGAAAGCCUGAUGCAGCAACGCCGCGUGAGCGAUGAAGGCCUUCGGGUCGUAAAGCUCUGUCCUCAAGGAAGAUAAUGACGGUACUUGAGGAGGAAGCCCCGGCUAACUACGUGCCAGCAGCCGCGGUAAUACGUAGGGGGCUAGCGUUAUCCGGAAUUACUGGGCGUAAAGGGUGCGUAGGUGGUUUUUUAAGUCAGAAGUGAAAGGCUACGGCUCAACCGUAGUAAGCUUUUGAAACUAGAGAACUUGAGUGCAGGAGAGGAGAGUAGAAUUCCUAGUGUAGCGGUGAAAUGCGUAGAUAUUAGGAGGAAUACCAGUAGCGAAGGCGGCUCUCUGGACUGUAACUGACACUGAGGCACGAAAGCGUGGGGAGCAAACAGGAUUAGAUACCCUGGUAGUCCACGCCGUAAACGAUGAGUACUAGGUGUCGGGGGUUACCCCCCUCGGUGCCGCAGCUAACGCAUUAAGUACUCCGGCCUGGGAAGUACGCUCGCAAGAGUGAAACUCAAUGAAUUGACGGGG
rnacentral:rRNA from 1 species